AGGUAUUUCUUGUUUUACUGUUUGUAGCUGCCUUGUGGUCACCGGUGUAAAGAGAUUUGCCAUUCAGGUGAUUGUCCUCUGAACUGCAGCCAGAAGGUUAAACUCAAGUGUCCUUGUAAGAGACUGAAAAAGGAAGUACAGUGCAGCAAGAUACAAGAAGACCAAGUUUCAUUGGAGUGUGAUGCAUUAUGCAAGGAAAUGAAACGGAAGGCGUCUGAGAUAAAAGAAGCAGAAGCCAAAGCUGCUAUUGAAGAGGAGAAGCGAAGACAACAGGCUGAACUGGAAGCUUUUGAAAACAGAUUAAAAGGACGAAGAAAGAAUAAGAGGAGAAGGGAUGAAGUAGAAAUUGAACAAUCAUCGUGGCAGAAAUAUAAAAACCUCAUUAUGCUGCCAGUGUUUGGAGUUGCUGUUGUGAUGGUUGCAUGGCUCAUGGUCUACAACGACUGAAUCAUCUCAGUAUUCAAUAUACCUCAGUUGGGCUUUAGGUAGCUGUUAUUCUUAGAAUGUUUAGUUUGUAUGCAACAGAACUUAAUAUGCAUAAAUUGUAUAUGUACACUAUUUGCAAGUGAAGAAGAGGGAAGAAAUGUCACCUUUUGUGGUGUUACAUUCACAGCACAAAACUGAAUUCAGACACUGAAGAUACUGAAAUAGUAAAUUUUAGUUGACGCUGAAGUGAUGAUGUAAUUUGUCUGAGAUAUAUUAACAUCUGUUCUAUUAAUAUUAUUACUUUUCCUUGUCUCCACUUCACAAUAUUAAAAAUAGUUUAGUAUAAAAUGCUUUCUUGAAUAUUUGUUUCUCAAAUACUUUGUGCAUGAUUAAAUAUUAGUAUUUAUAAGUUAUUCCCUUUUGUUAUAUCACACAACAACUUCUGUCCUUCACACCAGUUUUUCUUGUAACAGCUGAGGCACUUCAGAUCAUUUAAGUUUUGAGCAUUCAUGUGGCCUCUCACGUCAAAACUUUCUUUAGAGAAAAGAAAUGUGAAAUGUCUCUCAAUUCAACUAUAAUGCAAAUAAUAAAAUGGGUCCCCUUGUAGACUGUUUUUUAAAAAUUGUUGUUGUUUUUCAGUGCUCGGUUCCUCAAAGUCAAAUCAACUGAAAACUUGAUUUAGUGGAUGGAUGCAUACACUGAGCAUAGGUGUGAAGUACUUUCAGCAUAGAGGGGUACGUUCUCAUUGUUUUUCAUGUAGCCAAGGGCAGAAAAGCAAAUUGAAAUUAAACUUAGAGCAUUGCUUCUAUAUUUUUAUAGAGAACUGUCACGUUUGAGUAUUUGCCUAGAUGUACACAAAUAUAAAGUAGUUGAAUAGUGUACUGGUACAACUGUAUGUUGUUCUGAAGCCAUCUGGAUGGUGUUUUCCAGUAGUGUGUGAACUAUCUAGAUAAUCUUUUAAAUAUUUGAGGAUUGCUGGCAGUUUCAAAUGCCUUGCUUUGGGAAAUUGAGUGAUUGGUAGAAGUACAAGGUUUACGUGGCUUUGAGAUUACAAGAAAAGUUAUAUUGUCUCAGCUGAAGGGCUGCACGUUAAGUUUGGGGUGUAAGGGAAGAAUCAGAAAAAAUGAUUUUAUUAUUAUUUUUUUAAUCUCUGCUGGAAAUGUUAUGCUGAUACUUGAACAUCGUGUGUAUCCGAAGAGUGCUUUCCAAGAUCCUUUGAAAGAGGAGGUACAAAGCUUGCAGUUCUUGGAGUUCUGACUGUGGGAUGUUUGUUUUCCUUGCAAAGCAAUUGUAAUUUUAGCAUAUAGUUUCUUUGCAAAUGCUUGCAAAAGCAGUGGGAUCAUUUGUGGCAAGGAGUAGAGAAAAUUGCAGUUUGUUUGAGAGCUCUUUCAGUCAGAUUUAACCUACGUGUAAAAGGAGUUGAAAUGAGCUAAUAUCCAAAUGUGUGAUUACAGUUCAGCAGCAGGAAAAGCAAGAAAAGCUGCAAAAGGCAGUAGUUCCUGGGGAAACAAUUUCUUUUUUUUUUUCCCCCACCCAAGUUUAGUGGAAGAGAGAUGAGGAAAAAUUGGCAAUUAAAAGCAAGAAUGAGUGCUAUUUGGGAGUAUUAGAUACAUACCUAUAUAUUUUAAACUGACGUUAAAAACUUACUGAUUCUGUCAUGGUUUCUUAGGCUGUUUAGUAUGUAAAGCUGUGGAAUUAAAAUUAGUGUAGAACUGAAAUUUUACCAGGUAAUCAAAGUUAUAUCUGUUUGAAUUAUCUUAUUUCCUAGUGUAAGGAGUGAAUAAUUUCCAUAUUGUUGCUUUAACUCUUUUCUAUAAUACUGAUGCCUGCGAGAUAAUUGCCUAUGUAGGUGUUGUUUCUUUAACCAAGUGAGGUGAUGCCAUUAUGCAACUGCUUGGGCCUAUAUUCUCCCAUCACUGAGAAAAAAGGAGGGAGAUUUUUUUGUUUGACUGAAGUAAAACAUGAUCUAUUGUCCAAAACUACAAAAAGAAGCUUUUGUAGAUGGAAUAUUUAGGUUAAGGUGAGUGGGAACAUUGUGAAAAACAGCUCUUAUUUUAUGUGAAUGUAAGCCAUUUUUCUAUGUACUGUAAGCUAUUUAUUUGAAACAAGUACAAAGUAAAGUUUCUCCUUGCCUCUGUGGCAAAGAGAAGAAAUCUCUACAGAGCUGUAAUAAUGAACUGCACUUGAGUUACAUGUUUGAAGCUGUUCUUAGUGUACUUUUCUGCAUAUUUUGCAAUAUUUGUGUGACAUACUGGAAAGGAAAAGACUUGCUUCUGAUUGAUCAUCUUUGUUAAAAUAGGAAAGAAUACGAAACUGUAAAAUUCAUUCCAUUCAUAAGUGUGUGAAUGUAAGCAUAUUCCCUUCAGAGAUUCAUCUUUCUUCUGAACUUUGCAUAUGUGAAAAACCUCUAUUUUUGAAAUAGUUUUGCCGGCUGAACCAGAUAGAUGUCUAUUGGCAUUAAAAAAAAGUGUGUGGGUUCAAGCAGUUUAAUAAAUCACUUUCUUCUAUUUGUUGUUUUAAAAUUAUUUUUGCAAUUUCUUUUUUUUUUUCUUGCCUUUUGUUUUUGGUUGAAGCUCCACAUGUUGCCAAGUGCAACAAUUGUGAAGUAAAAGGUACAGAUGAAAUCAUUUGGUAUUCAGUAUAUAUGAAAUACUUAGAUUACAAAAAAUAUUUUGAAUGUUAACAAUUUACAACAAAUAAAAAAUAAAAAGCACACUGAUAUACAUUAGAACAAAUGACAUAAUGUGACCUGGUGUUGGAGGGAUAUCAGAGAUGAGCCGGAUGAUGGGCGUGCUUCAAAAUAUUUAGAUACAUGUAAAAUAAAGAAAAACAGUAAUUUCUGAGAGGUUUUUAUUACUCUGAUUCCAAACACAUUCUGGUUAGCGUUAAUCUCUGUACUGAACCAGGGUGCUUACAAGUUGUUAGUAUUUUGGACUGGAAACUCCUUGGGUGAGUUUGUUCCCUGUAACAGUAAUGGGACUUUUGUGUAUGUUAAUUUAAUGUAAAAACCAAGUCAUACAAUAAACACAUCCAAAACUA